GACGGUACUUGCAGAAAAAGCACCGGCUAACUAUGUGCCACCAGCCGCGGUAAUACAUAGGGUGCAAGCGUUGUCCGGAAUUAUUGGGCGUAAAGAGCUCGUAGGUGGUUCGUCACGUCGGAUGUGAAAAUCUGGGGCUUAACCCCAGACCUGCAUUCGAUACGGGCGAGCUAGAGUGUGGUAGGGGAGACUGGAAUUCCUGGUGUAGCGGUGGAAUGCGCAGAUAUCAGGAGGAACACCAAUGGCGAAGGCAGGUCUCUGGGCCAUUACUGACACUGAGGAGCGAAAGCGUGGGGAGCGAACAGGAUUACAUACCCUGGUAGUCCACGCCGUAAACGGUGGGCACUAGUUGUGGGAACCUUCCACGGUUUCUGCGACGCAACUAACGCAUUAAGUGCCCCGCCUGGGGAGUACGAUCGCAAGAUUAAAACUC
rnacentral:rRNA from 1 species